rnacentral:rRNA from 1 species
UACGUAGGUGGCAAGCGUUAUCCGGAUUUACUGGGUGUAAAGGGCGUGUAGGCAGGGACGCAAGUCAGAUGUGAAAACCACGGGCUCAACCUGUGGCCUGCAUUUGAAACUGUGUUUCUUGAGUACUGGAGAGGCAGACGGAAUUCCUAGUGUAGCGGUGAAAUGCGUAGAUAUUAGGAGGAACACCAGUGGCGAAGGCGGUCUGCUGGACAGCAACUGACGCUGAGGCGCGAAAGCGUGGGGAGCAAACAGG